UUUUACAAUGUAGAGUUUGAUCCUGGCUCAGGAUGAACGCUAGCUACAGGCUUAACACAUGCAAGUCGAGGGGCAGCAUGUUGGUUGCUUGCAACCGAUGAUGGCGACCGGCGCACGGGUGAGUAACGCGUAUCCAACCUACCCUUGUCCAUCGGAUAACCCGUCGAAAGGCGGCCUAACACGAUAUGCGG
rnacentral:rRNA from 1 species